rnacentral:rRNA from 1 species
GACGGAGGAUGCAAGUGUUAUCCGGAAUCACUGGGCGUAAAGCGUCUGUAGGUGGUCAAAUAAGUCAACUGUUAAAUCUUGAGGCUUAACCUCAAAAUCGCAGUCGAAACUAUUAGACUAGAGUAUAGUAGGGGUAAAGGGAAUUUCCAGUGGAGCGGUGAAAUGCGUAGAGAUUGGAAAGACCACCAAUGGCGAAGGCGCUCUACUGGGCCAUUACUGACACUGAGAGACGAAAGCUAGGGGAGCAAAUGGG